CUUUUACAGGUUUCUCUUUUAAUUAUCCUAGAAGCAGGGAGAGAAAAAAAAAAAAAAUCAAAAAAAAAAAAAAAGGCAAAGAAGAAGCAGGGUGGUUAAAUUAGCGUGCUGGAAUCUUUUCAGUUUGUCGCAGAGUAGAAAAAUAAAAAAAGGAAAAAAAAGGCUCAGUAAUUUAAAUUUGCUCUCAGUUCAGGCUGCAAUGCUGGGUCCCGCCCCUUCUUCCGGCUGGGUUCCACUACCUGCAAGGCUGGAACUGACAGCCACUGUGCAAACAAAAAAAGGCAACAAGCAUGCUGGGACCAUUCUGUCUGCUGUUUGGGUCUCACUUGUCCUGACAACUAAAAAUCAUCAGUGGAAAGAAGCUAGAGUCAUCCUAACAAGAGUGAUAGUCUUUCCCCAAGUGAGACCAGGCUGUGCUGUCUGGGGAAAAGCAUUGCUGGCCUUGUCGAGAUGCACCGACGACUCAGCUCAGCUAAGGACUUAACCAGUACAGGACUUGCUGCAGCGGAGCCUGAGCUGGAUAUGGAAAGCAAAAGAAGUUGUGUCUGGCUACUCCCUUGAACCAG
rnacentral:lncRNA from 10 species